rnacentral:rRNA from 1 species
GACGAACGCUGGCGGCGUGCUUAACACAUGCAAGUCGAACGGAAAGGCCCUGCUUUUGUGGGGUGCUCGAGUGGCGAACGGGUGAGUAACACGUGAGUAACCUGCCCUUGACUUUGGGAUAACUUCAGGAAACUGGGGCUAAUACCGGAUAGGAGCUCCUGCUGCAUGGUGGGGGUUGGAAAGUUUCGGCGGUUGGGGAUGGACUCGCGGCUUAUCAGCUUGUUGGUGGGGUAGUGGCUUACCAAGGCUUUGACGGGUAGCCGGCCUGAGAGGGUGACCGGCGACAUAGUGACAGAGAGACGGACCAGAGUCUUAUGGGAGGCAGAAGAGGGGAAAAUUGCACAAGGGGCGGAAGCGUGAGGCAGAAACGCGGCGUGCGGGAUAACGGGGUUCGGGUGGUAAACAGCUUUCGCGUGUGAGGAAGAGUGAGUGACGGUAAAAGGUAAAGAAGAACAGGCUAAAUACGUG